AGUCGAGCGAGAAUCCUGUGAUUGAUCCUUCGGGUGAAGUCACAGGAGGACAGCGGCAAACGGGGUAGUUAGGCGCAGGUUACGUACCCUCUGGUUGGGGAUAGCCACGGGAAACUGUGGGUAAUACCCAAUGAUCCGUCGUGUUGUAAUGACGUGGCGGCAAAGGUGAGAUUCCGCCGGAGGAGCGGUCUGCGUGGUAUUAGCUUGUUGGUGAGGUAAUGGCUCACCAAGGCGAAGAUGCCUAGGGGGUGUGAGAGCAUGGCCCCCACCACUGGGACUGAGACACUGCCCAGACACCUACGGGUGGCUGCAGUCGAGAAUCUUUGGCAAUGCACGCAAGUGUGACCAAGCGACGCCGAGUGCUGGAUGAAGGCCUUCGGGUUGUAAACAGCUGUCAGAGGGGAUGAAAUUGUUGGGGGCUAUCCCCCUUCAUUGACAGAGCCUCAGAGGAAGCGCGGGCUAAGUUCGUGCCAGCAGCCGCGGUAAUACGAACUGCGCGAACGUUAUUCGGAAUCACUGGGCUUAAAGGGUGCGUAGGCGGCCUGUUAAGUAGGGUGUGAAAUUUGUCGGCUCAACCGGCAAACUGCAUUCUAAACUGGCAGGCUUGAGUGAGUCAGGGGUGUGCGGAACUUCCGGUGGAGCGGUGAAAUGCGUUGAUAUCGGAAGGAACGCCGGUGGCGAAAGCGGCACACUGGGGCUUUUCUGACGCUGAGGCACGAAAGCUAGGGGAGCGAACAGGAUUAGAUACCCUGGUAGUCCUAGCUGUAAACGAUGAAUACUGGGUUGGGGGAGCAUGUCUCUCCCAGCCGUAGCGAAAGCGUUAAGUAUUC
rnacentral:rRNA from 1 species